GUCCCUGUGUCACACCCAGGUGACAUCCAUGUCCUUGCGUCACACUCGUGUCACCGUGCCAGCUGUGUGACACAUCCAGGUGACAUCAGUGUCACUGUGCCAGCUCCGUGUCCUUGUGUCACAUCUGUCACUGUGCCAGCUCUGGGUGACACCUCCAGGUGACACCGUGGUGACAUCCAGGUGACAUUGGUGUCCCUGUGCCACAUCCAGGUGACACCUCCAGGUGACAUCCGUGUCACUGUCCCAGCGUCACAGCUGUGUCCUGUGCCAGCUCUGGGUGACACCUCCAGGUGACAUCGUGUCCCUGUCCCAGCUCCGUGUCCCUGUGUCACAUCUCUGUCACCGUGCCAGUUCCGUGUGA